rnacentral:rRNA from 1 species
GGGUUGUGAGGUUAAGCGACUAAGCGUACACGGUGGAUGCCCUGGCAGUCAGAGGCGAUGAAGGGCGUGCUAAUCUGCGAUAAGCGCCGGUAAGGUGAUAUGAACCGUUAUAACCGGCGAUACCCGAAUGGGGAAACCCAGUGUGACUCGUCACACUAUCAUUAACUGAAUCCAUAGGUUAAUGAGGCGAACCGGGGGAACUGAAACAUCUAAGUACCCCGAGGAAAAGAAAUCAACCGAGAUUCCCCCAGUAGCGGCGAGCGAACGGGGAGGAGCCCAGAGCCUGAAUCAGCAUGUGUGUUAGUGGAAGCGUCUGGAAAGGCGCGCGAUACAGGGUGACAGCCCCGUACACAAAAGCGCAUGUGCUGUGAGCUCGAUGAGUAGGGCGGGACACGUGGUAUCCUGUCUGAAUAUGGGGGGACCAUCCUCCAAGGCUAAAUACUCCUGACUGACCGAUAGUGAACCAGUACCGUGAGGGAAAGGCGAAAAGAACCCCGGCGAGGGGAGUGAAAAAGAACCUGAAACCGUGUACGUACAAGCAGUGGGAGCACAGGUUUACCUGUGUGACUGCGUACCUUUUGUAUAA